rnacentral:rRNA from 1 species
AAUAGAUACCCUGGUAGUCCUAGCCGUAAACUAUGAGCACUGGGUUGGAGGGUCCUCCAUAGCCUUCCAGCCGCAGCGAAAGUGUUAAGUGCUCCGCCUGGGGAGUAUGGUCGCAAGGCUGAAACUCAAAGAAAUUGACGGGGGCUCACACAAGCGGUGGAGGAUGUGGCUUAAUUCGAGGCUACGCGAAGAACCUUAUCCUAGUCUUGACAUGCACGGAUUAACUCCUGGAAACAGGAGCCAGGCCUUCGGGUACAACGUGCACAGGUGCUGCAUGGCUGUCGUCAGCUCGCGCUGUGAAGUGUCGGGUUAAGUCCCUUAACGAGCGAAACCCUUGUCGCUAGUUGCCAGCGAGUAAUGUCGGGGACUCUAGCGAGACCGCCGGCGUUAAGCCGGAGGAAGGCGGGGAUGACGUCAAGUCCUCAUGGCCUUUAUGACUAGGGCUGCACACGUCCUACAAUGGCGCGCACAAAGGGAUGCAAAAUCGCGAGAUCAAGCAAAUCCCAAAAAACGACGCCCCAGUUCGG